AGUCGAGCGGAUGAGUGGAGCUUGCUCCAUGAUUCAGCGGCGGACGGGUGAGUAAUGCCUAGGAAUCUGCCUGGUAGUGGGGGACAACGUUUCGAAAGGAACGCUAAUACCGCAUACGUCCUACGGGAGAAAGUGGGGGAUCUUCGGACCUCACGCUAUCAGAUGAGCCUAGGUCGGAUUAGCUAGUUGGUGAGGUAAAGGCUCACCAAGGCGACGAUCCGUAACUGGUCUGAGAGGAUGAUCAGUCACACUGGAACUGAGACACGGUCCAGACUCCUACGGGAGGCAGCAGUGGGA
rnacentral:rRNA from 1 species